GCCGGGCGCGGUGGCGCACACCUGUAGUCCCAGCUACUCGGGAGGCUGAGACAGGAGGAUCGCUUGAGUCCAGGAGUUCUGGGCUGUAGUGCACUUGCCAAUCGGGUGUCCGCACUAAGUUCAGCAUCAAUAUGGUGACCUCCCGGGAGCGGGGGACCACCAGGUUGCCGUAAGGAUGGGAACUGGCCCAGGUCGGAAAAUCAUUCAAGCAAAAUCUGGGUGGUUAUUUACUCUGCAACAGAGUUUUGGACCAGAGCUCAGAUCCUUGUCAUUACGUUUCCAU
rnacentral:SRP_RNA from 14 species